GAUGAACGCUAGCGGCAGGCCUAAUACAUGCAAGUCGAACGGUGUCUUCGGACAUAGUGGCGCACGGGUGCGUAACACGUAUGCAACCUACCUUACAUUGGGGGAUAGCCUUUCGAAAGGGAGAUUAAUACCGCAUAAGACAGUAGCUGGGCAUCCAGCAGCUGUUAAAGAUUUAUCGAUGUAAGCUGGGCAUGCGUCCAAUUAGCUAGUUGGUGAGGUAACGGCUCACCAAGGCUAUGAUUGGUAGGGGAACUGAGAGGUCAAUCCCCCACACUGGCACUGAGAUACGGGCCAGACUCCUACGGGAGGCAGCAGUAGGGAAUAUUGGGCAAUGGACGCAAGUCUGACCCAGCCAUGCCGCGUGCAGGAUGAAGGCGUUAUGCGUUGUAAACUGCUUUUAUACAGGAAGAAACGACUCUUGCGAGAGGCAUUGACGGUACUGUAUGAAUAAGCACCGGCUAACUCCGUGCCAGCAGCCGCGGUAAUACGGAGGGUGCAAGCGUUGUCCGGAUUUAUUGGGUUUAAAGGGUGCGCAGGUGGUUUAUUAAGUCAGUGGUGAAAGACGGUCGCUCAACGAUUGCAGUGCCAUUGAAACUGGUAGACUUGAGUAAAGUAGAGGUGGGCGGAAUUGAUAGUGUAGCGGUGAAAUGCAUAGAUAUUAUCAAGAACUCCAAUUGCGUAGGCAGCUCACUUGGCUUUU
rnacentral:rRNA from 1 species